rnacentral:rRNA from 1 species
UACGUAGGGGGCGAGCGUUGUCCGGAAUUACUGGGCGUAAAGGGUGCGUAGGUGGCACUUUAAGUUGGAUGUGAAAUCCCCGUGCUUAACAUGGGAGCUGCAUCCAAUACUGGAGAGCUAGAGUGCAGGAGAGGUAAGCGGAAUUCCUAGUGUAGCGGUGAAAUGCGUAGAUAUUAGGAGGAACACCAGUGGCGAAGGCGGCUUACUGGACUGUAACUGACACUGAGGCACGAAAGCGUGGGGAG